rnacentral:tRNA from 1 species
GCGGGCAUGGUGUAGUGGUAGCACGAAGCCCUUCCAAGGUUUAAGCACGGGUUCGAGUCUCGUGGCCAGCUCCA